AGGAGAUUAUUUCCCAGGCUGGAGGAGGCAGUGGAGUUUAGGGCUGUUGUGGGAGAAGGAGAUGGCCUUGAAUCUGAGUGAAGGACUGCCAGGCAUUCCCUUCUGGUUUUGGUAGGAGGUCUUCCUUGGCUCUGUAGAGGACUGGCUUUGUGAUGUGAAGAGCCACCCCAGCAGUGCCUUGUCACCCAUCUCCCCACGCAGAGGAUGCCACGCAGGCGAUGGGGAGGAGGAAGGCUGCUGCUAUCCUGCUUCUUGGCAGAGCAUCCUGGGAUCCCCAGCAGCUGAGGCAGGCUGUGUGUGCUGCACCAUCCUGUCUGCAGUGGGCAGGGAAUAAUCUCACCUGUAGCUGUUGCUGCAGGUGCACAGACCUUUGGAGAGUGCCAAAACCCAGAUGAGGAGAUCUGGAUGGUAACAUCCAUUCCUGCCUUGCUGCAGGAAGGGGAUGAACGAGGCCACUUUUCUUUGCACUGACACCAGGUGUGUAGCCCUCCUGCUUCCCAAGAGCUCAGCUCCACCCGUGGAGCUGGACUUCAGAGUUGUCUGCAUCUCAUUCCAGCCACCUUUUGACCAGCAAGAGAUCUGCCGUUUCUGGAUCUGUCCAACCCCAUGCACUUCAGCUACCCUUUCCUCCCAGCUGCAGUUUACCAUCACCUGUGUAAAUUCAGCUCCCCAUUGAGUCCCUGCUUGUAAAGCUUUAAAAGACUCCAGACACAGAAACCCAACUGCUGGGGGCUGUGCUGCAACCAGCUGGGUGCUGUUUAUUGCCCCCAAAGCUCUCUCUAAUUGCAGGAGCUCUGAGGCAGCGCUGAAGGGCUCAGCUGCAGGCUCCUGUUUCAUUGGAGGUGGCUGAACAGAGUUGCUCUCUCUGUUUUUUUUUCCCAUGUGAGGUGUCUUGAGAUGAGACACAAGUCUGACUGCUCAGAAUGAGCUCUCACAGCCUGCUUGAGAACCCACGUUCCCCAUUCUCUCUGCCUGCUUCUUCCUGAAGGACAUGUGGGGUUAAUCCCACCCUGACAUGAAGGAUGCUCCAGCUGGUGUCUGUGAAAGACAUCUCCCACCUUGUGCUUUUGUCCUGGUUUCUGCAGACCUGAGGAGUAAAAUUUCCCUCUGAAACUCCACUGUGUCUCUGGAGAAGGGUGAGACCAGGCUUGUCUUGAAGCCAAAUGUUCUCCUGUGGCAGAAGGUAAGGCAUGAAAUUCAGCAGCUGUGGGAGCUAAUGGAAGAUGAGAGUGAGCUCAGCUUGGGGGACCUGUGGAGCAGAGACCUGGAGUCAGGUGUCCAUGGGGCUGGGGUCUGUCCUGCAUGGUCUGCCUUCAGCUGGUGCCUGCUAAGCUUCUCCAUUCCUGAGAUGAUUGUGCAUCUACAAGCCAUAUUUAUAGCAUGGCACCAUUUCUGAGGACAAAGCUGCCUUCCUCAUGGCUGUGCAGUAAAGGCAGGAGGGUGUUUCUUCUGCUUGGCUGAGGAAAGCUUGGGAGCUUCUCUCUUCCUUCGUUUGCCUGAGGAGUGCUGAUGGAUGCAGAGGGUGGGAACUGCCCAGGCUUUCUUUACAUCACAGUUCUCUGCUCUCAGUGACGUCCAGGAUAGCACAGCAACAGCUGGAGGUGCAACUUUGAGGCACCCACCCCACCCUGAUCUCAGGCAAACCUGCUGCACUUCAGAUGGGCUGGAUAACUUCUCCAGUGACACACAGCCCACAGAUAAGGCUUGGAGGAAAUUGUUAUGUUUCUCAAGUGCUGUUGAUACUACAUGUUCUGGAAACUGAAGUCAGCCAGAAGAUCACUAUCUUUAACUGCACCAUGAAGACUGCUUUUGGGAAGAGACAGUUCCUGUAUGAGGGAUUGUCAUGGGUGCACGAAUGCAGUGUUGAAAAUCAGCUGAGGGGCUGAGCCUGUGGGGCAGGGUGUGUGUCUGGGUGUGCUGAAAGGAAACGUUAUCUUCCCAACUGCUCAUUAAAAGCUUCACGUUCAUGUCCUGAUUCAGAUCCUGUUUAUUCCAGAGCAAUCAGGAGUAGCUGCCCUGAAGCAAAGCCUGUGCCCAGCAAUAUGACAGGCUUGCAGCAAGAGGAACGUGGGAGCAGAGUGGAGCCCUGCAUCUUGGGCUCAUCAUUUUGGAGCACCCAGCAGUUUUAACUUCACCUCAAGAGAAGCCUCAUUUGAAGGGAUUUCUCCAUCCACAUGGAAUAUAACCCCCAGCUGUGCCUGGCAGCCCCGCGGUAACCGUGCCUCUUAGCUCAGCAAAUGUCUUCAGACGAGCUGCGGGCGAGCUGAUAACGAAGAGAAAAACACAAGAGAGCGGCGGGGAUGGCAGCGAUGGGCAAGGAACUGUGCACUUGAAAGGCUACAAUCCAGGUUAUACGUUUCUAGAGCCUCUUGAAGCUUUAAACUCUUUACAGCCUGUUGAGAGCAGAGUGAUCUCUGACUUCCUGCGAGGAGGCCAGCGCUGGGGUGGAGAGAUGCAGCUGCCUCACUGGCCCUGAGCAGCUGGGCGAGGCUGGAGGGGAUGCGAAGAAGCAUCUUGCAUCACCUGCAAAUGCAAAGGAGGAGGUGUCAAGAAGCUGCUUGUGGUGCUCUAACCUGCAAUGAGUCCCCUGCAUCACCUGAAAAUGCAAGGAGGAGGUGGGAAGAAGCUGCUUGUGGUGCUCGAACCUGCAAUGAGUCCCCUGCAUCACCUAAAAAUGCAAAGGAAGAGGUGGGAAGAAGCUGCUUGUGGUGCUCGAACCCGCAAUGAGUCCCCUGCAUCACCUGAAAAUGCAAGGAAGAGGUGGGAAGAAGCUGCUUGUGGUGCUCGAACCUGCAAUGAGUCCCCUGCAUCACCUGAAAAUGCAAGGAGGAGGUGGGAAGAAGGUGCUUGUGGUGCUCUAACCUGCAAUGAGUCCCCUGCAUCACCUGCAAAUGCAAAGGAGGAGGUGGGAAGAAGCUGCUUGUGGUGCUCUAACCUGCAAUGAGUCCCCUGCAUCACCUGCAAAUGCAAAGGAAGAGGUGGGAAGAAGCUGCUUCUGGUGCUCUAACCUGCAAUGAGUCCCCUGCAUCACCUGCAAAUGCAAAGGAAGAGGUGGGAAGAAGCUGCUUGUGGUGCUCUAACCUGCAGUGAGUCCCUGGAAGGGCAGCAGGUCUGGAGCAUGUUCUCGCUGCUGCUGCAGAGCUGCGUGCGGCAGGGCUGGGGAGAGACCCCCAGCAACGCUUCCAAGGGCCAAGAGUUAUGCAGGAAAAUUAUGGGAUGUGAAAUAAAAUACUGGGAGAUCGAUGCAAAGCACACAUUUAUUGAGAUGUAGCAGUCAGUUGCAGGGCUGUUAAAGAGCCAUAACUGUGUAUUAAAUAAUCAGUUCAGCUGGUAUUUAUUUAACAUAAUCGCAGCCUAUUAAACCUGAAUUAAGUGCAGAGUUGAGUGUCUCUGGGACACAUGGCUGAAAACGGUGCCAGGAAUAUUUUAUGUUGCCUGAAACCCUUUGUGGAAAACUCCUACAAACAGCAGCUUUGCCAAAGUGUCCUUUGCUUGACAGGGAAAGGCAGCGUGAGACCUUUAAUGCCAACCUGAACUGCAGCAGAGCAUUCCUGCGCGAACCGCCCUGGGUGAUCCUGCCUUGGCAGGGAGGUUGGGCUCGGUGACUUGGAG